GGGCCCGCACAAGCGGUGGAGUAUGUGGUUUAAUUCGAUGCAACGCGAAGAACCUUACCAGGGUUUGACAUCCUGCGAAUCUCUUGGAAACAGGAGAGUGCCUUCGGGAGCGCAGUGACAGGUGGUGCAUGGCUGUCGUCAGCUCGUGUCGUGAGAUGUUGGGUUAAGUCCCGCAACGAGCGCAACCCUCACUUUUAGUUGCCAUCAUUAAGUUGGGCACUCUGAAAGAACUGCCAGUGAUAAGCUGGAGGAAGGUGGGGAUGACGUCAAGUCCUCAUGGCCCUUACGUGUUGGGCUACACACGUGCUACAAUGCUACGGACAAAGGGCAGCAAGUUCGCGAGGACAAG
rnacentral:rRNA from 1 species